rnacentral:rRNA from 1 species
UACAGAGGGGGCAAGCGUUAUUCGGAAUUAUUGGGCGUAAAGGGCGCGUAGGCGGCUUGGCAAGUGGCAGGUGAAAUCCCUCGGCUUAACCGAGGAACUGCCCUCCAAACUGCUUGGCUUGAGACCGGGAGAGGUGAGUGGAAUUCCCAGUGUAGCGGUGAAAUGCGUAGAUAUUGGGAGGAACACCAGUGGCGAAGGCGGCUCACUGGACCGGUACUGACGCUGAUGCGCGAAAGCGUGGGGAGCAAACGGG